UGACAGAUGUUAAGAUCAAUUUAAAUGAUUUUUCCGAGAUGUAUCCGACUGAGUCAGACUACGAACUGAAGGUGCUGCAGCUUUUCGCUUCCCGCAAAGCGACGCAAAUUUCUUUCCUUGAGAUCAACGGUGCAGUAAACCCAAGUGAAAAUAAUCCGCCUCAGAUUGAGAGCCAAAUGUGGACAGAAAUCACCAAGUUUAAAAACGUU